AUAUCAGACUUAAAACAAAAGAAAGAGGGCAACUUUCAAAGAACUACUGUUCCCUUAAGACCUCUAUGAACCCAGAUUGAAGAAAACCCUUGGAAACGCCUAGGAAUGCAUCUCCAAGUAAAUUGUGGUAACAUGGUUUCUCAGAAAUAAGUGACUGUUCUUGAUGUCUGAGAAGUCCCCUGCAUAGAGUACCUGUAUCAAGAUCCAUAGGAGGCACCCAUUUACCCAUUUGAAAGAGAAAUUCCACAGAAUGGCUGAGCAACAAUGGGAGAAGAGUAACCAGAACAGGAAAAUGGAACCAAGGCAAUCCAAGGAGAACCUGCUAUCAAGCAUGCAGAGCCCAAGUCACAAUAAAACAGUGUCCAGAAAAUCUGUUGAAAGGUUUAACAAAGGCAUUCAAGUUCAUAUG